GACGAGGGAUCCUAGCGUUGUUCGGAAUCAUUGGGCGUAAAGCGGGUGUAGGCGGACUUAUAAGUCAGAUGUGAAAUCCCAGGGCUCAACCCUGGACGUGCAUUUGAUACUGUAAGUCUUGAGUGUGGUAGAGGUUACUGGAAUUCCUGGUGUAGUGGUGAAAUACGUAGAUAUCAGGAGGAAUACCGGAGGCGAAGGCGGGUAACUGGGCCAACACUGACGCUGAGAUCCGAAAGCGUGGGGAUCAAAC
rnacentral:rRNA from 1 species